UUUCACUGUGUUGUCCAGGCUGGUCUUGAACUCCUGACCUCAAGUGAUCCACUCACCUUGGCCUCCCAAAGCCCUGUGAUUACAGUCGUGAGCUAUGGCGCCUGGCUCGCUUUUCAGUAUGUAACACUUCUGUCCUUUAAUUGUCACAACAAUAGCUUAUGGUGAUCAUUGUAUGUGGUACAGUUGUCCCCCCUUAUCCACAGGGGAUGUAUUCUGAAUCUCCCAGUGGAGUGGAUACCUGAAACUGCCGAUAAUGCCAAACCCUUUUGUCUUCACAAUUUCACAGAUAGAAGGCUGGUUCUUACCAUAAAUCUUAGCCACCUCAGCAUGCGAUUUUUGUCUUUCCUUAUUAAGUCGAGAACUUUCACCUUUUACCUUAAAGGAAACACUUUAUGGCUUCUCUUUGAAAGAUCUAAGUAGCCAGCAUCACUACUCCUGUGCUUUGGGACCAUUAUGAAGUAAAGCACUGCAAUACUGAGACAGUCGAUCUGAUCAUCAAUAGGGCUACUAAGUAACUCACAGCUGGGUAGCAUACACAGUGAGGAGACGCUGCACACAGCAAUGAUUCCCAUCCCCAGUGGGAUGGGGUGGGAUCCAGCAUGCUACUCAGAAUGGCAGGCAAAGUACAACUUAGACAUUACCUCUGAAAUUUUCCAUUUAGUAUUUUCGGGCCAGGAAUAUUGUCCACAAAAGUUAACCAUAAGUAACUGAAACCGCAAAAAGGGAAACCAUAGUUAAGGAGAGCCCACUGUAUUAUUGCCAUUUUUCAGAGGUUUAGGAACUGUUAAGAUUUGAAGCCUAGAAUGUCCAACACUAGAGUGCCCUAAAAUCUGUAAGCUCUUUUUGCUGUUGUUAAUAUUGCAUGGCUCUCUGUGCCAGCCAGAUUGAAUGACCUCCAGAAAUUAAGUGAGCCAGUGCCCAAGAUGCCAGACCAAUUGGCUUGGUUUCCAGACUUGGUUGAGCCCAGCUGCUCACCCUCUACCCUGGGGGUGGCGGACAAUAACUAAAAGAGAAACAUCUGAUUCCUGUCUGGAGCUCUCUCCCUCUUUCCUAUAGCACUGGCUGUUUAGGAAUAGGGAUUCUAUCUUCUGGUGUAGUUUUAUGUCUGGCACAGUGUUCUGGUAACUAUGGAAUGCAAUAUUUGUAGAAAAAGAGGAAGAACAAUUUACCUAUCUGUAGUGCUCAGAUCAUUCAUCCAAGAGUAAGUAAUGCCUAAUUGCAUGAAGACUGCCACAAGGAAGAACUAAAUCACAUACACACAUGAUGCCAAAGAGUAAAGAUAGUAGCAAUACAUAAUAUUUAAUUAAAUGCACCAUUCAGUGUUUUUGCCCUGCCCUAAAGUUUAUGUGUUGAUAAAAAUGACUUUCUGAUAUUGGGAGUUCAUUUCAGAAAAUACUCUUAUAUUUUGAGAAUAUUUUCCAUUUGGUUAAUGAGGUGGUAAUACAUGUAAAAGAAAUUAAGAAAACCUCAUUAAGGGAUCCAAAAGAGUAAUAUUUUACAAAGAGUAAUACCAUCAAAUAGUAUCAUCUCAGCGUUGAACAUCUCAGAUGUUUCAGUGUCCUCUCCUAUGUGUGAAUUCCCUCUACAACAUCCUGAAUGCACUAUCUCCAGCCUCUACCCUGAUCCAAACAUGGACAAAAACAAUUUUUUUUACAACCACAAAUUAAAGUCUUGGACAGCUGUAAUUCUUACACCCUUUCCUAAUACUGAAUUGAAAUAUGCUUUCUCUAGUUUUCACCAUGCUGGUAGUCCUCUUUUUUCUUUUCUCUACUUUUUUCGCUCUCGCUCUCUCUCUGUCUCUCUCUCUCUUGUAAAACUGCUCUAAAUUUGCUGGGUUGGAAUCUAAAGUUGAAUUGAAAAAUUGAUAUGUAGUGUAAGACAUAGCAUUUAAACAUACUCUAUGAGUGGUCGUUUAAAUUGGACCUUUAAAAAAAUGCGAAAGGGGUAAAGAAUAAAAACACUUAAUUUUCUCUCAUUUGUUUUAUUUUUAAGCAUCUCCAUUGCACUAUUUCACUCAUCUAAGUGAAAUCAAGAUCUUGGUUUUGGACUAAACUGGAAUUCAAAUGUGUAUGAGCAUCUUUGUUAUUUAGUUGCGUGGGUUCAUGAGGAGUUUAUUUUGAUUUUUUAAAAAUUGAGGGGCUCUGGAUUUUUUCUGUGCACCUGAAACAAGAGUUGAGAUGAAGAGGGCAGCGUGUGUCUGCCCACCACACUGUCUCUGCUUGAGGCUAUAGACUUGCAGCCAGAAAGCAGAGGAACACUUCACAAAGAACUCCGUGAGAUAUGAGAAAAGUGAGUCCUCUGGCUUUACUGCAGGUUAUAAGCUGUAACCUGAGUCAGGGAGAGAGACAUUCUCCCAGGAGUCUCUGUGAGUCUCUGAGGGUUUGUUGUCCUGGGAAGAUUUUGGCAGUGACGCUUUUGAUGUGAAAAAUUUGCACUGAAGGGAGGGAAACAGGCAAAGAAGACUUCAUUUAAGACUCUUGCAAUAGGGAAGAUAAAUAGAAUACAAUUCUGCUGAAACAAGAGGUGGGAAGACUUUUAAAUGCCAGGCUGGGCUAGUAGAAAAGUUCUUAAAAAGUUAUUAGGGGAGAGGCUGGUCAUGUGAUUAGGCCAUCUGUUUUGGCUAAUUGCCACUUAUGGAAGUUAGGUUUCUACCCUCCCACAGAGACUGGGAGAAAAGAGUGCUAUCUUUCUUGAUGAUUGCAUUUCAAAGAGAUGGCUCUCAGGUCCUUGAGACAGACAUCACUGGACUGUGAAGCAAGAGACUAGAAGAUUGACAUCUCAAAGUGAAAGAGUAAAAAUUUGCAUCUGUAAGCUUUGUAAAGUAAAUGUUCUAAAAAAGGGGAGGUCAGGGGCUUAUACAUUCAGGAAGAAGCCUGUCAAAAGUUUAGUCAAGCUGAAGGGAACCUUAAGAAGGUCUUGAUCAAACAAGGGUAUUCUCCUGUGGCUGUAGCAGUGGCACUGAGAGGCACAGUCUUCGAGUGUUUUGGAAGCAGUGGGUGUCACUGAAAAGCUAAGACACUGUGAGAAAAUAACUCACGAGAUACUUCCGGAUCUCCUGGAAGCUCUUGGAGAGGUUUGCAAAAGUCUGAAAGUGUGUGCAAUAUAGGUAGGGGCAAGACCAGUGAAAUUUGGGUCAUCACCACUAAUGUGAUCCCAUAGCCAGCCAGUGACUGGCAAGACCGAAGAAAUACAGAGUAUGGAGGUGAAAUAUUUCAACCUGACUUGGAACAUGUUAUACCCUUCAGUCCACGGGUGCACGUACUGUGACAUUUUGCUGCUUUGUCCUUCAUAAAAACAAGUGCUGUGGUAGCAUGAAAAUAACACUAGACAGACAGCUAAAAGACCUGAGUUUGUUUUUCUUUCUACCGGUUACUAGCUAAACUGACUUGGAUGAGGCACCAUCCCUCCUGGACUUCCUUAUGGGGAAUUGGGAUAAUACAUCUACUUCACAGGGUUGUUAUCAGGAUUAAAUCAAUAUACAUGCCAUCCUUUGCAAAGCACUAUGAAUGACAGAUUAGAGGCUUUUCUUUUGAUUUUUACCCAUUACUUAACCAGUAGCCUUAAUGUGACCUCAAUUGUGUCUCUUUAGGACGGUGGUAACUUUUCAUAUUCAGAUUAUUCCUUCUGUGUACCUUUUGGGAAACUUUAUUCCAAUUCCCAUUCAUUUAAAUGGUAUAUAAUGUUUUAAAUUGAACUUUUAUCUCUAUUUCAUCUGUCUUUAUUUUUUUUUUGUCUUGGACUUGGACUUCCUUUCUACAACUCUAUCUCUUGGAGAACUUUUGUGAUAAAAUGGAGGUCAGUAGGAACCUUGACCCCACGCUUCUGUCUGAAUACACAUGUAACUGCUGCAUUUGCUCACCACCACCAAAAUGCUUCAGUGUUUGGUCAGUGGUUUUUAAGUUCGAAAUGUAUGCAUCUGUUCAAAUCUGUGUAAAUUGUACUCUCUAGCCGUAAGUUGCUUGAUAUCAGUAUCUAUCUAUAUAUAAUCAAACAAUUAUGUUUGUAGAAUAUCUAAAGAAGAUGCCAGAAAAAUUUUGUACCCUUUGAUAGAAAGUGUGGGUGUUGAUUAAAAAAAAAGAAGAAAUAAAUCCACAUUUAAUGGGAUAGUUAAACAUCUGUUUACCAGAAAAAAAUUAAUUUCCAACUAUAAAGGAAUUGCUUAUUUUUCCAUUAAAUCCUCAGAACAAACAAAUAACAAUUUUGAGAGGGCAAUCUAAAGAUGCAGUCGUGGUUACUUUGGUAUUUGACCCUUUUUCUGUAGUAAUUUAGUCUGAACAAGACCAAAGUGUGUGCUACUCUUUGGCUUUAUAGCCCUCUAACCAUAGGCGCUGAUGGCAUUCACGAUUAUGGAUUAAAUAGGGCCAACCCUUGUCAGUAAUUUGUUAAAAAAUUCCCACAGAGAUACCUAUGGUGCUGCUGAACAAUGAUGUUGGUAGUGUGCUAUUUUGCUUUAGGAAAAGCUACUGCAUUCCAACAUGGGGUUCAAUGGCUGGUCCUGGAAACCUCGUCUCUGUUUGAUAUAAGUUAAACCUUGAGUACACUCUGCCUGGUACUGAAAUUAACAUCUGGGUCCUGACCAAAUUCUAACUUGUGAAAUUGCAGAUUACUUUACGACUGGAUAAGAAAUGUACUCCAUCAUAUCUUAGCUUUGUUAUUUAAUUUUGCCUGGGGUUGUUAAAUCACUGUAGCAUUUUGCCACUGUGUGCAACCAGUGGGCUUUUAGAAAUUUUAGCAUGAAAGGCUCUCAAGAAAACAUGAAACUCUUUUAACAUAAGGUUAUCUCCAGGAGGCUACUUUUUGGUUUAGUUAUGUGAUUGUAUUUGAACAAAUAGAUUUUCUUUAGUUCUACUUAGUGUUCUUUUUUAAACUGAUGGACUUUCACAAUAGGUUUUCAGGUCUUGGCUUUUCAGUUUCAUUUUUGGGGGUGUGGAAGUUUCAGAGUGAGAUACAAACUGAUUUGUGAGAUGAAAAAUAUUAAAGAUAUGAUCAUUUGACAGUAAUUUGGUGAUCUGAUUUUUUUCUGGAAAUAACAAAGCUAAUAUUCUUAAGUGAGCGAAAAAAUUUUUGAGGACAGCUACUGGAUAGUUGAAUAUUUUAUCCAUUAAUGAAAUUGUUCACAUUUUGAAGAGAUUAUUAACUGUGGUGCAAUUGGAUUCUUUGUGAAGUGGCAGCAAAAGGCUUCUUGGUUUACACCAGGGUCAGCAAACUACACCUUGCAGGCCACAUCAGGUCUACCACUUGUUUUGUAAAUAAAGUUUUACCGGGGCAUAGUCAUGCCCAUUUGUUUAUGUGUUUUCUGUGUCUGCUUUUGUAAGAGACUAUAUGGACUUUAAAGCCUAAAAUAUUUAGUAUCUGUCCCUUUCUAGAACAAGUUUGCUUACCUCUGCUUUACAUCAUUAACUUGAUCCUGUGGAGUCAGAGCUGGCUGUGCACAUCCUCUAAACCAAGGGAGAAACAAAUUACAUAUUUGAGAAACAAUGCUAAGAUUUUCCCAUCCCUUGGACUCUGGCUAGACAUUUGUGGCAACCACAAGCUUCACUUUCUCUUUUCUCCCUUUCUCAAGGUGCUUUUAUCUGUGACUGCGGCACCAGCAGUUUGGGUUUGGUAGACUAUAAUAUUGGAUUGGUGGUGUGUAUUUUUACAUAAAGCCUUGGAGUUAUUUUAUUUUAUUUUUUUGCAGAGAUGGCUUCACAUUUUAGACUACAUGUUUAUAACUGCCCUUGUGCUAUAGUUGCUCUUAUGCUGUAAAGCAUGACAGCAUACUUUUAUCUUUUAACAUUGGCCAAAACUGGUCACACAACCAUUACUAAACCAUUACUGUAGAUUAAUAAGAAUCUGUAUCUAGAUUUAAAAAUUUACAUUUUUGAGAUGGGAUCUCUCUGUGUUCCCUGGGCUGGUGUUGAACUCCUGGGCUCCUGCAAUCCUCUUGCCUAAGCCUCCAAAGUAAUUGGGAUUACAGGUCUUCACCACCAUGCCUAGUUUACACCUGAAUUUUGGAAUGGAGUUAUUUACUCUUGCAUUGCUUGGGAGAAGGAUGGACACCUGGAUUGGUUACUUUCUUUUUACUACUCUAGAGCUACCCAUUCUCUGCCUAUUUUAUCAUGGGUCUCCCCAAAAAGAAGAGCCAGAGAAAAGGGAUGGAUGCAGAUAGAUAGCUUAUUUGAGGGAGUGAUCUCAGGGAACAGGAGUCAGAGGAUUCAACGGUGAUGUUGGUAGUGUGUUAUUUUGCUUCGGGCAAAGCUACGGCAUUCUGUCUUGGGGUUCAAUGGCCGGUAUUGGAAGCCUCUUCUCUAUUUGAUACAAAUUAAAACUUGAGUACUAGGACUAGUGAAAUGGAGAAAAUGUAAAGAUAAUCCAAGAGUCGAGUUAUUAAGACUGAAUGUUAGUUAUUACUAUGGGCAACUGGGGUUCAAUUUUGUUGAAAACCCUCUGAAGAAUGGUAUAGAUCCUUCCUCAGACUUGUUUACUCAAGACAUGGAAAAGGGUAUAUUUAUCUACUUGCUUCCAACUCCAGUUGGUCAAGUCUUGCCCUUGGGGCUGCUAACUUCCUUGGAUGUACAGUCAGAGUAUGAUGCAGAAUGAGUAAGCAGGCUAGUCUUGUGUAGGUAUCUCAUGCUGUGGAGACAAAGAAUUCCUGAAGCACAAGAAACAUUUGUGCAGCUAAGUUAAGGUUCUAUUGCUUCAGCUGGUUGCUAAAGCAAUAGUCAGAACAAAAUGCUGAGCAAAGAGGAUGUGAGACAGGGCAUUGAAAAUGUAUGUCUCCCUGUCCUUCUCAACCUGCUUCGUACCUCAGGGAGCUGACCUCUGUAGCAUAGAUCACCUGAACUCCCUUUCCAUCUGGCUUCUCAUUGAGUCUUGGUACCAGAAGAAAUGGUAGGAAAUCUGAAAGCAGGAGAAUAGAAUGGUUGAGAGUAUUUGUUUCCCCUAUCUUCUGUCCUUCCUGCAUUGCCACAGUUUGUUACUCUUGGCUGCCACUCCUAUUGGGUGAACCUGCUUCCAUGACUCCACCCCUCUUUGGGUUUGGUAAUAUCAUUCUCUCUCUACCAAAGGCCACAGCUCCUGCUAGGAGGCCUUUUCCUGUAGUUAUAACUCUGCCAUAGAUUGAAUAACUGCUUAUCUCUCUUUUCUUUCAGACCUGGAGUAGGUUUUAGUUUUCUGUUGUUGCUGAUCUUUGGACCCAGCUCAAAUCUUUUGCUGAGCUUUUACCUAUUAAAUCUUUUCAUUGUGGCUUAAUUUACUGCCCAAAUAAAAUUGGGGUUUUGUUAGCAGCGAAUAAGGGAGAACUUUUAUGGGCUGACAUAUAAAGGUGUCUGCUCUUCCUGUUAUGGGGCCAGGACCAAGUGAAAGUUUGCCACCAGUGGAAUGGCUUCAACACACUUAGAAAAAUGGCAUAGAGAUGAAGUUCCUCUUUUGAAUAACUUUCAACUUUAGUGGCCUACUACUCCCAUAUUUUGGCUUGUUAAACUGGUAAUGCUAUAUUUUAAAUUUCUAUUGCAUUUUUUUCUUAGACAUUAAAACCUUUUCAGUUACAGGAUUUAAGCAAUAUAAAAGGCAUCAGCAUAAAAGUGAAAAUCUCCCUUGAUUCAGUUACUCAUAGAUAAAUAUUGUUAACAUUUUGAAUUUCUUCAGACUUUAUCGGUUGUCUAUAAAGGCGAUCAGCAUCUCAGUUUUGUUUGGAAGGAAGACACCAACUGUAAAAAUGUGGAUGGGAUGAGAGGAAACAAGGAUAAUUAAGUCAUUCCAUUGUAAGGUCAGCACAACGUCUGGAUAUAUCUCCUGUUAUUCAAAGAUGAUACUCAGACAAGAUUAAAAAGAAAAGUAAAUGGAAGAAACAUAGAAAACAAAAAACAAAUGUCUACAACCCACCCACUCACCCUUAAACAUAACUAAAGAAUAAAAGAACACCAUGCUUUUCAAAAAUUCCCAAUGGUUAAGUACUUGUAACAACUUAAGUGUCUAUGAUGAGGUAGUAGAAAAAUGUAUUAUUGUGAAUUCAUUUAGCAGAAUUCUAUGUUGUUAGUAGAAUGUAUAGAAUAUUAUAUGCUGCUAUAAAAUUAUCUUCGAGAUAUUUUUAAAAAAUCAAGGCUGCUAUGAUAUGAUUUAUAUUAAAAACAGCACAGAUGAAUAUACAUUUACAUGCUUAAGUAUAAAUAAAAUGUUUCUGAAAGGAAAUAGGUAACUAUUAACAAUGUUUUAUUACCAAAAAUGGUUGCAUAUUUGGCGGUAAAAGGGAGAUUUGCUUUUCAUUACAUUUGUUUUUGUCAUAUUUAAUUGUUUUUCCAUCCACAUAUUAUUCAGUCGGAAAAGAUUUACUAGAGGGAAGGUAAUUACAUCUUAAUUAUGCACUCAACUUCAAAACAACAUCAGAAUCCCUGAAGUAGGGGAAGAAAGGUGACAUUAAAAAAGUCAAAAGUGGUUUUCUACAUAGUUGUAAGUACAAAGUGAAUUGGCAAGAAAAAUUUACAUUGUAAAGGAUUUAAAAAUGUAAUUAGGAAAUUAAAGUCUGCGUUGGAAGCAGUUAUUGAUAAGAAUCAUCUCUUUAGAGAUGUAACCAAUAACUUCGAAGAUAUUUUCAACAAUUCUCCCAGAAUUCAUAACAUAAUAACAAAUAGAAGAAAUUAACAAAAAGAAGAGGAUAGAAACAAAAGGCAAAGAACAGAAGUUCAGCCUACAGAAGAUUGGUAAAGAGGAGAGAACAAAUUGAACAGAGCAAGCAUCAUGAACUAAUAGUAGAAAACUUUCCUGAGAUGAAUAAUAUCCUAAGGCAGCACAUGAGACAAACUGGUCAACAGGAAAACAACACCUUAAACGUAUCCUAGUGAAAUGUUUGAAUUUCAAUAGUAAACAAAGAAUCCUCUGAGCAUCUAGAAAGACAAGGUAGAGAGAUCAGGCUGGUCUCAAUCUUUUUCUCCAUAAUGUUGAACAUUAGAUGCUAAUGGUGGAGCAACAUUUAUAGAAUUUUGAAGUAAGUAAAAAUAAUUUGAGAUUAACCAGAAAUUCUCUGUUUAAUCAUAUGUUAUCAUUCUUAUGUAAAGGAAUCAGAGAAGCUUUGCAUUUACUAUCUAUUGAUAGAUUUAUAUGAGCUAUAAAAUUUAUAUACUCCACAUAUUACUCUUUAUAAAAAAUUACAGUUUAACUUUUUUUUAUUUUUGUUUUUAAAGAAACUCAGGAAUUCUGCUCUUGGGAAGAUGGAUUAGAUGUAUUAUUCUUUACUCUUCCCACUAACUACAACUAAAACCUCAGACUUACAUAUAAAACAAGCAUAAGGAGACUCUGAACGGUGAAGAGAAGAAGGUGGACUUACUGGAGAUCUUAAGACCCAAGAAAUAAUGGAGAAGAGAACAAGAAGAUUUAUACUAGCCAUGCAAGGAAUCUUUGGAAGUCUAACAGACCUGACUUGAAGAGAAGGCUUUAAACAAGAAAUUCUUCAUUCUGGAACAGUGAUUCUUAAAGUGCGGUUCAGAGACCCUGGGAGACACUGACAUUCUUUCAGAGUGUGAGUGAGGAUUUCCUCUUUGCAACUACAAUCUGUGUAAGGUUGGAUUUUCUUUACAUACAUAAACUAAAAUAAGAUUGCAAUAAGAUGAAUGCAGAAGCAGAUAAGAGAAUCCAGCUGUCUUAAGUUAGACUUCACAGAGAUUUGCAAAAAUCCAAACAAGACCACUCUCGUCAUUAAAGUUAUUUUCCAUUUGUUAUGGUGAACUUAUUUUGCAGGAAAUUUGUUAUUUAUAGUAACAUACAAUUUUGUUUUUUGAUCAUUUUAAAUAAAUUAAUAAAUAUUAUAAGUUUUCUAUUUUUAAAAUUAUACAUGUCAGAAAAGAACAGUUCUUUCAGGUCCUCAACAAUUUUAAGACUAUUAACUUGUUUUGGAUCAAAAAGUUCUAGAUUUGCUAUUCUAGACAUGAAUCCUUUGAAAUUAAUUGGCUUCAUAAGUAUAUUUUUCAAGUUUGUGGCUUGUCCUGUAACCUUCUACUGUGUAGAAGUUUUAAAUUUUAAUUUAAAGAAAUUUAAAAUUUUUUCAUUUUUGUUUGUGCUUUUGGUGUCAUAUUUAGGAAAUCCUUCUCUACCUUGAGUUCAUGAAAAUAUCCUCUUAUAUUUAGUAUUUACAGUUUGUUCUUCAUCUUUAGGUCUAUAAUUUAUUGAAAAUAUAG
rnacentral:lncRNA from 1 species